CAGCAGCCGCGGUAAUACGUAGGGUGCAAGCGUUGUCCGGAAUUAUUGGGCGUAAAGGGCUCGCAGGCGGUUUCUUAAGUCUGAUGUGAAAGCCCCCGGCUCAACCGGGGAGGGUCAUUGGAAACUGGGAAACUUGAGUGCAGAAGAGGAGAGUGGAAUUCCACGUGUAGCGGUGAAACGCGUAGAGAUGUGGAGGAACACCAGUGGCGAAGGCGACUCUCUGGUCUGUAACUGACGCUGAGGAGCGAAAGCGUGGGGAGCGAACAGGAUUAGAUACCCCUGUAGUCCCUGUCUCUUAUAC
rnacentral:rRNA from 1 species